rnacentral:rRNA from 1 species
AAUGAACGCUGGCGGCGUGCUUAACACAUGCAAGUCGAGCGAGAAAGUCGACUUCGGUCGACGAGUAAAGCGGCGAACGGGUGAGUGACACGUGGGCAACCUGCCCUGGAGUGGGGGAUAACUUGGGGAAACCCGGGCUAAUACCGCAUACGUUCUCGGUGCUGCGGCACCGCGAAGAAAGCUGGCCUAUUCUUGAAAGCUGGCGCUCCUGGAGGGGCCCGCGCCCGAUUAGCUUGUUGGUGAGGUAACGGCUCACCAAGGCGGUGAUCGGUAGCCGGCCUGAGAGGGUGAUCGGCCACACUGGGACUGAGACACGGCCCAGACUCCUACGGGAGGCAGCAGUGGGGAAUAUUGGACAAUGGGCGCAAGCCUGAUCCAGCAACGCCGCGUGGAGGACGAAGGCCUUCGGGUCGUAAACUCCUGUCAGUUGGGACGAAAAGCUGUCGGUCAAUAGCCGGCAGUCAUGACGGUACCAGCAGAGGAAGCCCCGGCUAACUCCGUG